AGGGGAAAUAGCAUAAAUAUAAUGUGCUUCCUUUACACGGAAGAGAUAGCAAGUAGCUUUUCUCCUA
rnacentral:tRNA from 1 species